AUGGAAGUGACUGGGAAGGUUCACAGCUGGGAGGAGAAAACUGAGAAGUUUUCCUUUUGCUGGGAUGAAUUUUCAACAGUCAAGUGCCCUGCAUGCCUGGCCUUGAGGCUGCUGUGCCACUGGCUCCAUCACAGCGCUCCUUCUCCCUCCAGCACCUUAAAAGUAUGGAGCAUCCACCAGAAACCACUAGGUAGGGCUGAGUGUUAAUUAGACUUGAAUUUCUAAGCAUUGCACCUGUGAGAAUUAGCGCCUGCCCUUUUACUACAGCAUCCCAGGGACCACGUUUCCUCCUGAGAUUUGAAAGCAGGAGAGGACCAGCUUCUCGCCACCUUGGCAAGCUCUCCCAAGAGUGCUUUUGUGUGUGGAAACCUGGGAGCUCCUUUCCCCCCAGUGCUGCCUCCUUUCCAAAAAGGCGCUUUCUCCCCGCGAAGCAAACGAUGCUCCAGAGCACAGCGAUCUGGAUCGUGACUUCAAGCGCGAUCCUGACUGCGCGGUGGUGCCUGAACCGUUCCCAUCACAGGAGAAGCCACGGGGGGCUGUGACUCAGCUGUGCCUGAGUCACGCGUCCCCAUCCCGCCGUGCUCCCGGGGGACCGUGCUUCGCCUCCACCCGUGCCUUCGUCGGUGAUGAACCAUGGCUCAGGCCUCGGUUCUUGCCAGCUGCUAAGGUAAGCUUAGAUCCUCCUCCAGCACUUCCUUGCCGUAAGGAUCUUUCCUCAACCAAAUCUCUCUGUGCCCAGAGCUGGCAGCAGCAGCUGCACGUGUGAGUGCUGUGAAGAACGUGCCCCUUGGAUCAGCCAGAUUCAGUUCAGUGCUCCGAUACCUGCUGGAUGCGUCUUUCCUUGAUAGCUUUGUAACAUCUAAAGGAAAGGAAAGAAGAUGAAGAGGAAGCAAAGUGUAUGGGCCUCGAUUGUGACAGUGCUACAGCCCUCUGGAUGUUAGCUCUUCCAUGUGCUGUAAGCAGGGAAGUUUUUGGUCUCUGUUAAAUCACGUUUUGAGUCAAUGGAUCACGUACAUGAAAGGCCUGGAGCAACAGCUUCUAGAGGAUGACAACAGGGUUGUGGAUCAAAACUUGUGCCUUUCUUUAUCGAUGGAAGAGACUCAAGUCUAAAUUUGUGUCUUUUUGCUGAAAGUCUUCAUUCAUGCAAUCUCAUUUUAAAGGGGGAAAAAAAAUGCACACAAAAAAACAAAACACAUACAAGAAAGCAGACUCUCCAGGAAGGAGGAUCAAGCAGUGCAGGCUGUGCAUUUUUCUUGAUAGCAGGAAUUCCUUUUUACUAAACAUUUCUGGCUCCAGUGGUGUGUAUCAGCCAGGUAAACCAGAGCCCUCAGCUGGAAGUUUUGGGCCUGCAGCUUCUGGGAGCAAGUCUAUGUGGUGGAAAUCAGAUAAACCAGCUUGUGCACACUGCCUCGCUGUGAGUUAGGACCGUCCUUGCAUUUUGCUGUUGUACAAUCAAUCUGCAAAAUAAAAUCCUUUCUUUUACAGAGUCAGGGGGCUUAAUUCAACCCUGGCAUAAAUGGGCAGCUAACAAUGGGCCAAGCUCAGCUUGGAUGUUGCUCUAGUUAAUUAAAAAGAGUAGCAUCGGGGGCUGAACUUGGCAUGGAGUGUUUAAGUGACUGGCUUCAGAGGCAGGGAAGAAAAAGCCUUGCUUAGCUCUCUGCAGCCCGCUCUUCAAAUGCAAAUUAACCUGUCAACAUCUGCAUGUAGCCACCCAGGACAGCUGCAGAAAGGAGCUCCCAGCACCCAGGAGAAGGGCUGGAAAUGUUUAGUUCCAAACAGCUAUUUUCUAAAAUAAUUUCUAGUAAAUAAGAAUACAUUUGAAGUGGUAAACGGAGCAUCUGCUACAUGCAACGAAUGGAGGACAGCAUGUGAAAAGAAGCAUAUGUCAAGUAUGCACU